UUGAUUGGUGCUUGCAUCAUGAUUUACAUUUGAGUGAGUGGCGAACUGGUGAGUAACACGUGGGAAACCUGCCCAGAAGCGGGGGAUAACACCUGGAAACAGAUGCUAAUACCGCAUAACAACUUGGACCGCAUGGUCCGAGCUUGAAAGAUGGCUUCGGCUAUCACUUUUGGAUGGUCCCGCGGCGUAUUAGCUAGAUGGUGGGGUAACGGCUCACCAUGGCAAUGAUACGUAGCCGACCUGAGAGGGUAAUCGGCCACAUUGGGACUGAGACACGGCCCAAACUCCUACGGGAGGCAGCAGUAGGGAAUCUUCCACAAUGGACGAAAGUCUGAUGGAGCAACGCCGCGUGAGUGAAGAAGGGUUUCGGCUCGUAAAACUCUGUUGUUAAAGAAGAACAUAUCUGAGAGUAACUGUUCAGGUAUUGACGGUAUUUAACCAGAAAGCCACGGCUAACUACGUGCCAGCAGCCGCGGUAAUACGUAGGUGGCAAGCGUUGUCCGGAUUUAUUGGGCGUAAAGCGAGCGCAGGCGGUUUUUUAAGUCUGAUGUGAAAGCCUUCGGCUCAACCGAAGAAGUGCAUCGGAAACUGGGAAACUUGAGUGCAGAAGAGGACAGUGGAACUCCAUGUGUAGCGGUGAAAUGCGUAGAUAUAUGGAAGAACACCAGUGGCGAAGGCGGCUGUCUGGUCUGUAACUGACGCUGAGGCUCGAAAGUAUGGGUAGCAAACAGGAUUAGAUACCCUGGUAGUCCAUACCGUAAACGAUGAAUGCUAAGUGUUGGAGGGUUUCCGCCCUUCAGUGCUGCAGCUAACGCAUUAAGCAUUCCGCCUGGGGAGUACGGCCGCAAGGCUGAAACUCAAAGGAAUUGACGGGGGCCCGCACAAGCGGUGGAGCAUGUGGUUUAAUUCGAAGCUACGCGAAGAACCUUACCAGGUCUUGACAUACUAUGCAAAUCUAAGAGAUUAGACGUUCCCUUCGGGGACAUGGAUACAGGUGGUGCAUGGUUGUCGUCAGCUCGUGUCGUGAGAUGUUGGGUUAAGUCCCGCAACGAGCGCAACCCUUAUUAUCAGUUGCCAGCAUUAAGUUGGGCACUCUGGUGAGACUGCCGGUGACAAACCGGAGGAAGGUGGGGAUGACGUCAAAUCAUCAUGCCCCUUAUGACCUGGGCUACACACGUGCUACAAUGGAUGGUACAACGAGUUGCGAACUCGCGAGAGUAAGCUAAUCUCUUAAAGCCAUUCUCAGUUCGGAUUGUAGGCUGCAACUCGCCUACAUGAAGUCGGAAUCGCUAGUAAUCGCGGAUCAGCAUGCCGCGGUGAAUACGUUCCCGGGCCUUGUACACACCGCCCGUCACACCAUGAGAGUUUGUAACACCCAAAGUCGGUGGGGUAACCUUUUAGGAACCA
rnacentral:rRNA from 1 species